rnacentral:lncRNA from 1 species
UAUCAUUAAAAUUUAACUGAGAUUGGAAUAUUCUUAUAAAUGCUAAAAUUAUAGAAAUGCUUUGCAGAACACAGUUUUCUCUCUAAUUUUAUGUUAUAUGGAGGUAUGUUCCUGUUAUCUUCAGGUCAAAUAAUAUUGUUUCCAGACUGUGGGUGUCCAAACAAGAUCUAUCAGAAAGCCUGAGAUAUUUGUGCUGGUCUUUUAUCCCAAUGUUUGUGAGAAUUGUUAACAUGGUCAUUUAAAUUUUAGCAAAAUAAACUGUACCAUUGAUAAAAUACUAGGUGGCACUUUAACCUAUAGUUGUUCAAUUUUCACUCAUUUUGACUUAGAUAAAGAGUUGACUAUUUGGCACUCAUACCACAUCUUCAUAAUUUUUUUUAUAGCUAAAAUAUUCACAUUUGCAGUAAUACACCUGGACUUUGUCUUUAAAAGUGUUGUAACAAAAAAAGUUCAAGACUUCAUUUUCUAUUACAGGAUUUCCAAUCUCAGCUAUAACUGCCUUACAUUAUUAUAUGUACCUGAUAUUCAUUCUAACAUAGUAAAGAUAAAUAUACUUAAAUAAACUAAAAAUAUGUAUAACAAAAAUUAUAAAAAAAUAACUAUGCACCACAAUUAAAACAAUAAAUCAUCCUUGCAAAAUUAAAUACUGAAAAC